rnacentral:lncRNA from 1 species
GGGGACUGGCGGUGACGCGGGUGACAUGCUGCGACAGAUGAGGAACGGUGCUGGAACCGGCCAGUGGUUUUUCUUCAAACGGCGAAGAUGUGGUGGUCGGCAACGGCAGUGGCCAUGGUAACUUGCCUUUUGUUGUUGUUUUGCCGGAACCACUAUUGAUUUUUCCUAGAACUCGCUUUCUUUUUUGCUGCAACAGGAGAUGCUAGUGCCUGGACGGCGACAGCGAUGGCCUGCUGCAUAGUUUUUUUUCUGGAACCAGCAUUCGACUCUGCUGUAACAAGCGAGGGUCGUGCUGGGAGGCGACGGCGGGUGGCUGCCAUGAAUUUUUGCUGGAACCAUAUCAUUGUUUGGGAAAACAUUUUUUUUUCAAUUUUUUUGCUGGAACCAUAUUAAUCUUUUGUUGAAACCAUGUGUUUUUUGUUGGAACCAUAACAAUGAUUGGUAUGAAGAAUAU